rnacentral:sRNA from 1 species
AGAUUCUCGCAAAUCUGGAAGCGGAUCGCGUGGAGUGACGGUCACACCGCGGCGGAUUAAUUUCCAAAGAUUCAUGUUACAUGAGGAAGCCGCCAAGAAGACCAAAGAAAAGGAGACAAGGAUGGCUCUUCCUCAGGAUUGACUUCUAAGGAUUCUUGGUACAUGAGGAAGAAACCUGGAAGGAGAAGAGGAAAGCAAAGGCAUCAGGAAUGGCUCUUCCUCAGGGUCUGUUGACAUUCAGGGAUGUGGCCAUAGAAUUCUCUCAGGAGGAGUGGAAAUGCCUGGACCCUGCUCAGAGGACUCUAUACAGAGAUGUGAUGCUGGAGAAUUAUAGGAACCUGGUCUCCCUGGGUGAGGAUAACUUCCCUCCUGGGGAUGUGCCCUUGUGUAUCUUUGUAUUUUCUCCAGUUGCCUCCUGGGAGCCACAUCAUUGCUUGACUAAAAUGGAAGCCAUAUUGAUUUCAAAAUGAAAAGCUUCAUGGUGUAGCAUCUGGACUUUAACUGUGCCCUUUGUUUAGAUGUUCUGCAUUCUUCAUGAUAGCUCAGUGGGGGUUCCAGAAGUAAAGUAGGCU